CCAUGGCGCAGCGGUUAGCGCAGAGGACUCAUAAUCCUUUGGUCGUAGGUUCGAAUCCUACUGGGCC
rnacentral:tRNA from 1 species